GGGCGCUUAGCUCAGCUGGUCAGAGCACCUGCCUUACAAGCAGGCGGUCGUGGGUUCGAAUCCCGCAGCGCCCA
rnacentral:tRNA from 1 species